GGGUGCAGCAGGUUGGUCGUGCCAAUGGUAUGCACUGGCCUUGCUGAUUUCCUCCCUCUAGAUGAGCCGUAAUGUCAUUAAUUUGGUGUUGCGGGAAGAUCAGGACUGUUACUUUGAAAAAUUAGAGUGUUUAAAGCAGGCAAGCGCUUGAAUACAUUAGCAUGGAAUAAUGAAAUAGGACGUUUGAUCCUAUUUUGUUGGUUUCUAGGAUUGACGUAAUGAUUAAUAGGGAUAGUUGGGC
rnacentral:rRNA from 1 species